GAGGACAGGUGUGUAUGAAGGUAUAUCCUAUGAGGACAGGUGUGUAUAAAUGUAUAUCCUAUGAGGACAGGUGUGUAUGAAGGUAUAUCCUAUGAGGACAGGUGUGUAUAAAUGUAUAUCCUAUGAGGACAGGUGUGUAUGAAGGUGUAUCCUAUGAGGACAGGUGUGUAUGAAGGUAUAUCCUAUGAGGAAAGGUGUGUAUGAAGGUAUAUCCUAUGAGGACAGGUGUGUAUAAAUGUAUAUCCUAUGAGGACAGGUGUGUAUGAAGGUAUAUCCUAUGAGGACAGGUGUGUAUGAAGGUAUAUCCUAUGAGGACAGGUGUGUAUGAAGGUAUAUCCUAUGAGGACAGGUGUGUAUAAAUGUAUAUCCUAUGAGGACAGGUGUGUAUGAAGGUAUAUCCUAUGAGGACAGGUGUGUAUGAAGGUAUAUCCUAUGAGGACAGGUGUGUAUGAAGGUAUAUCCUAUGAGGACAGGUGUGUAUAAAUGUAUAUCCUAUGAGGACAGGUGUGUAUGAAGGUGUAUCCUAUGAGGACAGGUGUGUAUGAAGGUGUAUCCUAUGAGGACAGGUGUGUAUGAAGGUAUAUCCUAUGAGGACAGGUGUGUAUGAAGGUAUAUCCUAUGAGGACAGGUGUGUAUAAAUGUAUAUCCUAUGAGGACAGGUGUGUAUGAAGGUAUAUCCUAUGAGGACAGGUGUGUAUGAAGGUAUAUCCUAUGAGGACAGGUGUGUAUGAAGGUAUAUCCUAUGAGGACAGGUGUGUAUAAAUGUAUAUCCUAUGAGGACAGGUGUGUAUGAAGGUAUAUCCUAUGAGGACAGGUGUGUAUGAAGGUAUAUCCUAUGAGGACAGGUGUGUAUGAAGGUAUAUCCUAUGAGGACAGGUGUGUAUGAAGGUGUAUCCUAUGAGGACAGGUGUGUAUGAAGGUGUAUCCUAUGAGGACAGGUGUGUAUGAGGGUGAGAUCAGUUGAACUUAAUUAUUAUUUAUCAGCAGGUAGA